GUACACCCUGAAAGUGCCUGAUUUUGUCUGAUCUUGGAAGCUAAGCAAGGCCAUGCUUUGUUAGUACUUGGAUGGGUGACUGCCCUGUCUCCCACAAGGAGCCCUGAGUUACA
rnacentral:rRNA from 1 species